rnacentral:rRNA from 1 species
UACGGAAGGCAGCAGUGGGGAAUAUUGCACAAUGGGCGCAAGCCUGAUGCAGCCAUGCCGCGUGUAUGAAAAAGGCCUUCGGGUUGUAAAGUACUUUCAGUCGUGAGGAAGGUGUUAAGGUUAAUAACCUUAGCAAUUGACGUUAGCGACAGAAGAAGCACCGGCUAACUCCGUGCCAGCAGCCGCGGUAAUACGGAGGGUGCGAGCGUUAAUCGGAAUUACUGGGCGUAAAGGGCACGCAGGCGGUUAAUUAAGUUGGAUGUGAAAUCCCCGGGCUUAACCUGGGAAUGGCAUUCAAGACUGGUUAGCUAGAGUCUUGUAGAGGGGGUUAGAAUUCCAUGUGUAGCGGUGAAAUGCGUAGAGAUGUGGAGGAAUACCGGUGGCGAAGGCGGCCCCUGGACAAAGACUGACGCUCAUGUGCGAAAGCGUGGGGAGCAAACAGGGAUUAGAUACCCGU